UGAGAUGGAAGAUGUCCUUGGAUCCGUAGGUAGUGGACAUGAUGAGGAGGAGUGAAGACUUUUAAUUGGAGUAGUAGUAGAUUUUUAUUUUGAGUUUUAUUUUUAUUUAUUUAUAUUAUUAUUAUUGUUUUUUUUAAUUAUGAUUGUACUUUUGGUGGCUCUUGUUUCACCAUAAACUUUGGUUUGUUAAUUGCAUGGAUCUUUUGUGAGAUUUUAUUUUGUGUUGCAAUGAACAAUGGUUUGCCC
rnacentral:lncRNA from 1 species